rnacentral:lncRNA from 1 species
GGUGACUGACGGCAGAGGGCGCGCGCGGGGCGCUGGAGAAUCGGGGACUCUGACUCGCAGGCUUGCGUGCCUUCGACGGGCACAGUUUAUGCAGGCGUGCAUUCAUUUACAAUUCAAGUCGGCUUCGAGACUGGCGUAUCUGCCACACUUCCUGUGUAUUUCCUGCACGAAGCCGUCAAACCCGCCUUCCUUCCCGCGCCGGCUGGGAGAUCUCUGCUUUCGCCCGCACCAGUUGAAAUCCGGAUUUCCCAAGACAGUGCUGGGCUCCUGGCUGAUCAACAAAACACCGGGAAGCAGGAGAUCAGAGCCUAUCCAAUGAAACUAGGCAGCACCCUGGGAAAAACUCCAACAAUGCCAGAGAAGGAAGGCAAAAAAGGACAGUUCUGAUCUACAGGGAUGGAGAGGAAGGGCAUCGCAGGUAGGGGGCACCUCGUGAGCAAAGGCCUGGGAGUGGGACUCAGACAAGAUGGGUCUGAGAACCAAAGGUGGCAUAGAGGAGACUCGAGGGUUAAGAUGGGC